AACCUACCGAAAGGUGGGCUGAUACCGCAUGAGACCUGAGGGUGAAAGCGGGGGACUGGAGACGGCCUCGCGCGAUGGGAGCGGCUGAUGUCCGAUUAGCUAGUUGGUGGGGUAAAGGCCUACCAAGGCUGCGAUCGGUAGCGGGUCUGAGAGGAUGAUCCGCCACACUGGGACUGAGACACGGCCCAGACUCCUACGGGAGGCAGCAGUGGGGAAUUUUGGACAAUGGGGGCAACCCUGAUCCAGCCAUGCCGCGUGAGUGAAGAAGGCCUUCGGGUUGUAAAGCUCUUUCGGCCGGGAAGAAAUCGGGUGGGUGAAUAGCUCAUCUGGAUGACGGUACCGGAAGAAGAAGCACCGGCUAACUACGUGCCAGCAGCCGCGGUAAUACGUAGGGUGCGAGCGUUAAUCGGAAUUACUGGGCGUAAAGGGUGCGCAGGCGGCUGCUCAAGACAGCUGUGAAAUCCCCGGGCUCAACCUGGGAAUUGCGGUUGUGACUGAGUGGGCUGGAGUACGGCAGAGGGAGGUGGAAUUCCACGUGUAGCAGUGAAAUGCGUAGAGAUGGGGGAGGAACACCGAUGGCGAAGGCAGCCUCCUGGGCCAGUACUGACGCUCAUGCACGAAGCGGUGGGGAGCAAACAGGAUUAGAUA
rnacentral:rRNA from 1 species